AUUGUUGUCUUCUAAUCGUCCAAUCAGAGCCGCCGCAGGAAGUUUAAAAGCAGCUCUGACAGCGGGUCGAUUUGAAUGUUGUUUUGAUUUCUGAACAUCUGAAAACUGUAAAAGUCUCUAUGACAGUAAACUGAAGAUCUUUGUGGACAAAACAAGACAUUUGAGGAUGUCAUCUUGGUGUGACGACCCUCUCUGGACAGACUCUUUGUCCUCUACCUGCAGGAGCCUGGUGGGCGGAGUUUGGUCGUCAGGGUGAUUCAGCUCACCUGGACAGACCAGCUUCUAUAUAAACUGGAGGCUGUCCUCUCCCCUCUGGCUUCCACCAUGUUGAUUUUGGUUGUGUUUAGUUUCAUUUAUCUUUAAGUUAUGUACAAUAAAUCUAUUUUUAGUUACAACUCAUGUGUGGUCUCCCCUCCUUUGUCCAGCCUUGAGCCGGGUUGUGACAUUGAACUUUGGGAAACACUGAUCCACAUCGACACAAUCAGUCCUAGCUUGUGGAGAAGUUAAAACUCAC